rnacentral:lncRNA from 1 species
UGUGUGCCUUUUGCUUCUAUAAAUGCUUGUACUCUAUAUAUCCCUGAAAUGCAUGUUUUCUUCCAAGCAGGACCAUGUACCCCACAAGGCCAGUGUUUCGGGGUGGAGCCAUGUUUCAGAUAUCUCUGCAUGGGCAAAGGCCAGAAUCUCAGCCACAGGCGGCUGAGGCUAGAGGGGCUGCAGAAAUUUGGGGCAAAAUCUUUCCUCCAACAUUCAAGACAGAAAGAACACACCCAUCAUCAAGAGGUGUCCCAAAGGAGCCUUUUGUGACUAUUCCAACAUUGUCAUCCAUGGUUCACGGACUUAGCCUUGAGACUCCUCCUAGGCCUCCUUUGGGUGAGUUCCCUUGCUAUUUAGGAUCUUCUUUUCUUAUACCUCAGUUGAUUAUCUUUGGAAGUGUAAGAAGAACUUGUGUUCUGCCUCGACUUUGUUUUUCAAGCAGUCUGUUCAGGCCGAGGCAUUGCAGGGAGAGGAAUGGGUGACAUGCUCAUAAAACCCAACGCAGAUAUCCCGGGACAGCAGAUGAAUGCAGGGUUGAGAGCAGGACCAGCUGGAGACAGCAAGGUGGAACGGGGGCUUCCCAGCCGCGGCAAGUGAGUU